UACGGGGGGGGCAAGCGUUGUUCGGAAUUACUGGGCGUAAAGGGCUCGUAGGUGGCCAACUAAGUCAGACGUGAAAUCCCUCAGCUUAACUGGGGAACUGCGUCUGAUACUGGAUGGCUUGAGUUUGGGAGAGGGAUGCGGAAUUCCAGGUGUAGCGGUGAAAUGCGUAGAUAUCUGGAGGAACACCGGUGGCGAAGGCGGCAUCCUGGACCAACACUGACACUGAGGAGCGAAAAGCCAGGGGAGCAAACGGG
rnacentral:rRNA from 1 species